CUGCAGUAUAACUUAAUGAUAGAUGAACGAAUCAGUGAGCGGUCAUUUUACUCACAGUGAUGCUUCAUUGAGACAGGAAUCAGAGACCUCCCUGGGUAACUGGAGGUCUGAAAGCUACACUCUCCAUGACUACACUCCCUUUGACAGACACCAACGACAGAGGUGAGGCCAGCUUCUGUGGUGUGUUUACGUAACGGGUGAAGUCUUCACUGAAGUCAAGGGGAGUUUGCUUACGUAAGGGCUGCAGGCCUUAGCCGUUGGAGAUUAAAAAGGGGAAAAAAAAAUCCUUAAACUCUUUCAACAUUAAUAUUGCCUGUGAGGAAUCCAGCCGCGACCUAAGCCUCGGAGCUUUUCGAACCUAGCAAGCAGAAGGGUGCAGUUUUGUGUUAAUAUAAGAGAAGUGUGGCCUUCCUUCUCGUCGCGCUAAAAGUGAACUAAUCCCUGUGUAAGGAACCAAAGAGUAUCGACAAUCACAUAUCAAGAGCUUGCUGCAGAGGGAAGCUCGGAAUUCCGUACUAUAGCAAUACAAAUGGCUGGCACUGUCACUGAAGAGUCUGAGGAACCCCUCUUCCGACAUAGUUUUCUUUUUUUCCCCAAAGCACUGUCUGAGAACUUUAUCUAGAACUAUGGAGGAGGGAGAGACAUACCACAGCACAACACAUUCUGCAGCAUUAGGAAGCUCCAGCUCAGAAUUGAUGCUGUGUGACUUCUGACAUUUCAUUCUCCAGUGCAAAUCGGACAGUUAGACGUGAUUUCAACACGAGCAGAUCCCCAUCGGAGUUGGUAAGAAGGAUUGCACUCUGCCAUGGAAGCUGAAUGGACGAAUAUUCCCCCCUCCUUUUGUAAAAAUAUUCCUUAUUUUGCUGUCAAGAAUCUCAGUAGAGAAAAUGAGUCCUCUGUUGU